AUGCUGACCUGCAGUCCCGCGCCAGCUCACGCAGCAGCUUCCUCCCAAUGUCCCCAUGGGCAUCCGUCCUCGCGUUCCUCAGCAUUGCCACAUUUCUCUCCUGUAAACCUCAUUGUUGACCAGCUCCCACCCAGCGCUCAUCCCUGCCACCCAUCCCCAUGUCCGUGCGUCCCCAUGUCCCCCAUCCAUACAUCCCUGUGUCCCCAUGUCUGUAGGUCACCACGUUCCCAUGUCCAUAUAUCCUUGUAUCCCCACAUCCAUCUUUUCGGUUCAUCUUUAAGGUCCUUUUCAAUCCAAACCCUUCUAUGUGUCCCCAUGUCCCUGCAUGCCCACAUCUGUGUGUCCCCACAUCCAUGUGUUCCAUCCUCAUAUCCCACAUCCAUUUGCCCCCCACGUCCCUGCAUUCCCACAUUCACGUGUACCCAUCCCUCGUGCCCCAUGUCCCCAUGUCCCCACAUCCAUUUGUCCCCAUGUCUCCAUGUCUCCAUAUUCAUGUGUCCCAUCCCUUGUGCCCCAUGUCUCCAUGUCCCCACAUCUAUUUGUCCCCAUGUCCCCACAUCCAUGUAUCCCCAUCCCUUGUGCCCCAUGUCACCAUGUCCCCAUAUCCCCACAUCCAUUUGUCCCCAUGUUCCUGCAUUCCUACAUUCACAUGUCCCCAUCCCUUAUGCCCCAUGUCACCAUGUCCCCACAUCCAUUUGUCCCCAUGUCCCUGCAUUCCCACAUCCAUCUGUCCCCAUCCCUUGUGCCCCAUGUCACCAUGUCCCAAUGUCCCUACAUCCAUUUUUCCCCAUGUCCCCAUGUCCCGACAUCCACGUGUCCCCAUCUCUUCUGCCCAAGUCACCAUAUCCCUACAUCCAUUUGUCCCCAUGUCCCUGCAUUCCCACAUCCACGUGUCCCCAUCCCUUAUGCCCCACGUCCCCAUGUCCCCAUAUCCCCACAGCCAUAUAUCCCCAUGUCCCCAUGUCCCCACAUCCACGUCCCCACCCCCCUGUGCCCCAUGUCCCCAUGUCCCUGCACUCCCACAUCCCCAUGUCCCCAUGUCCCCACAUCCAAGUCCUCACCCCCUGUGUCCCACGUCCCCAUAUCCCCACAUCCAUUUGUCCCCACGUCCCCACACCCCCACAUCCACACCUCCCCCCACCCCUGGCUGCUCACCAGCCUCUCGCCCACACUGUGCAUCAGGUUCUGCCCGUCCCACCGCUGCCCAGCAUCCUCCCAGGUGGAGGUGACGGCCACCACCGGCUUGCUGUCGUGCCAGGGCAUGUAGUAGUAGCGGUUCCCUGCACGCACAGUGGGAUGAGCACCCCACGGUGUCCCCAGGGGGACAGGGGAUGUCCCCCUGCUUUGCUCACCAUCAAAGAGGGGGUGGCCUUGCGGUGUGGCGGAGGCAGCGGGGUGGCACGAGGUGUCCCCGGUGUCCCCGUGGUUGCCGAUGCUGAGCUCGAAGCGCAGCGGUUCGGAUGUGGGGGACAGCAUGGUGGCAGAGUAGAACACUGCACAGAGCCCCAGGCGGUGGCGACACGGCAGAAGGCGCUGCAAGAGGAGAAAAUCCCCCCCAAAAACACAAAUAAUCUCCCCUACCCUGGGAUAAAAAAGUGA
ensembl:lncRNA